CCGGGCCUAGUAUAUAUAUAUCUAUUCAACACUUUUUAGUGUUUUGUUUUCCAUCUAUUUAUCGGUAUUGUUACACAAUCUUUCAGACUCAUAUAAUUUUUCCUGUUUGUGUAGUAUUGUCAAUUUUGAUGAUCCAAUACCUAUUUAGUUUACUGGUUGGUAGAUUCUUAUAGACUCUCUCUCUCUCUCUCUCUCUCUCUCUCUCUCUCUCUCUCUCUCUCUCUCUCUCUCUCUCUCUCUCUCUCUAUAUAUAUAUAUAUAGAUCAAUAUUUUGUGUUUCAAAGGUCUAUAAAAAGAUAACUUUUCAAAGUGUUUUAUCUCAGGCUAUCAUACAUGUAUAAUUUGAUAUUCAAAU
rnacentral:lncRNA from 1 species